ensembl:lncRNA
GUAUGUCAGAUAAGAGGUUGGCUGUGGGUUGAAGGCUAUUCACGUUCAGGGUUUUUCUGCUCUUCCACAGAGCAUCGAUGUCCAAACACGUGGGGCAGGCAGAGCUAAUGCUGUGAGGCUGCAGCAGGAGCUGGAGGCAUCCCCACAGGACGCUGUGUUUGGAUGACUCGGAGGCUGGGCUUUCCUGCUGUGUCCUGUAACUGAAAUCUAGCAUCAGGAAGGACCAUCGCGUGUGUCAAAGAUGUCAUCAUUUCCAAGACAACCCCACGAAUUUCAAGCGAGGAGUUCAUGAACACCAUGCGUUACGCAUCAUCAUGUCUUCAUCACAUCUUCCAGAGGACGUGGAAGAAGACUAAGGGGCUUUUAGCCAUAAGUAUCAGCAUCUCAAAAGGCCUUUCUUUGUGUGUUUUAAAUUCUCAGUGACUGCUCUAUCUCAAAGAGGCUUCCUGUUACUUUGCAUGGUCUGCAGGACUGGGCGGGGGCUGUUGGCUAUUUUAGAGGCACCACAGAAAAUGUUCUUUGUUUAUAAGUUAAUAGACCCGCCUUAUUAAUCCUGCUUUUACAGUGCUUUCUGCAAAUGAAACCUGGAACGUGAGAAUCACAUCUUCACACUUUAACUGCCAGCCCCAGCAGUUAAAGUUUUAUGCAAAGCGAACUGUGAGCGUGUGGGCAGGGCAGUGCCCCCCAUGGAUUUGCUGGGUAUAACUGGGUGGUCCAAACCAGUGUGCUGCUUUGGGUGCGUGAGGAGCAGAGUCAGCAUCUGACCGAGUCCCAGAAGUCUGAAUGAACACACAAGACUGAUGGCUGCCCUACAAUCCUCUAACAGUGCCUUUGAAUGAUCCCAGUUCAGUUGGCACAGCUGUUGGCACAACAAGGCCAUUCCUGAGAAGGCACCGACAGGCAGAUGGACGCUCUGCUUUGUGCUGCGUGGUUUUGCAGUGUCUCUGGGCAGCUGAUGGAGCAAGGGUUUCACUGCCUCUGCUGUGUUCUCACUAAGGCGUUGCGGCAGCCUGAACUCAUCUUCCCUCUUGGAUCAUGUGUGGUAUCCUCCAUUAGUAACACUUUGCUCUGACAGGCGUCCUGCUGUGCACUGCAGCAGUCAGGGGCUAAAUAAUUUAUUUGGGAAGCAAGUUUUGUGCAUGGCUUGGAGAAGGGAGGAGGACAGGAAUAUUGCAACAGUGAACCAUGGGGUGGAUUUCAGCGGUAGCCUUGGAGAAACACAUUGUGCCCUAUGGUCUCUGAGCAUUGCGCUUUGCCAUCCAUUGUUUCAAAAUUGCUUUCUCUCCCAUAAUUAUCUUUACAAGAGGAGGCGGAUCCAAAGCAUUUGUUUGUGCUUUUUUGUUUUUUUUCUUUCAAGGUAGUCCAUUGAUUUCCAUUUCUAAUAAUAAGUGUGAAUAAGCAAAAGGAAAAAAAAAAAAAACACAGUAAUACGUUAGCUGGUAUUUAAAAUAGAGAGAACAGGUCUGUUUGCCACAGCACGCUCCGUAUGUGGACAUCAAAGUGUCUUACAGAGGUCAUAAUUCUCAUUUCAAAGAUGAGGAAGCAGAGGUGCAGGGGGAAGUGGCUGGCUUAGCCGGUCAGCGCCGGAGCUGGGCGAGAUCUCCAAACCUUCCCUCCCUUAAUCAGGAUGGUUCAGGUCCCAGGUGCAAUGAAGGCACCGUGACGCUGCAGGGAGAGCAGCAAACCAUGCAGCCAGCAAAGCCUGAUUUCCUUCUGUUCUGUCCAAGGCUUCUGUGAUGUUGGCCUUCGAUGGUGCAGUCAUGAGGUGCCAGUGGCCUUUCCCUCACCAAGGGCACUGAUGGAGUGUGGCUCUCCAGCUUUGUUGUCCAUUUCCCCCCAAAGUUUAAGGCACUUGAGAAUUUCUGAGCCUUUCUGUCAGGCAUGGUUGCUAUGAACCAGUGAGUCACAAAAAACGUGUGCUUGCAUGCAUACACCCAUGCAUGCACACACAGACCUAUAUCUUGGCAUUGCAACAUGAGGGAUGUUUUACCCCAUGGAACUAUGCGAUCGGUUAACAUUUUUACCUUGCAGAUCUGUGGUUUUAAACGUGUUUCUCCGUAGAGUUCUGAAAGAUAAAGGGUGGUACAGCAAGGAUCUUCAUUAUGUUGAUUCAGUACAGUUGUUCCAUCUUACUGGAAAGUGCUUUCCAAGGGAAGACACAAAAUGCCUCCAAAUUGCUCUUCCAACUCUGUGGCCGCAUCUUCUUUGAGCCCUCAGAGGCUCGCUAUUAAGUCAGACUCUUUAAGUCACUCAGUUGAUGAAUCCUACCUCUUGGUGAGAAGACUUCUACGCCUGCAGCCAUGCUGCCCCGGGGCCCGGUCCUGUCACAUCUCAUCACCCAGAGACGGAGAGGCUGAAUGAGCUUUUUGGUGGGAAUUUCUGAAGUAGUGAUUUUCAGUCUUUCUUGAUCUUUGAGCUCUGAAAAUCCUUUAGGUGGCUGUUCAGCCUCCUUGGCAGGAAACUGAAGCUUACUGAUAAGAGACUGGUUUUAUUAGCUUUGACAGGCCCAUUACAAGUAGGCUGUGGAUGCCACAGGUCUUCUGUGCAUGGAGUUUCACGGUAUAAUGUGUCUAUGAGUUGAUGCAGGGAUCCGCCAAUAAGGAGCAGACAUAACGUGUAAGAUUAUCCAUCUGUACUCAUAUGGUAGGAAGGAGCAAAAUCACUGGGAGCCAGGACACAAAAUCAGGCGUCUGCCUUUAGGAGGGCAGCCAUGCUGUGGUUGUGUCACACAUGUGGAGGUGGCUGGCAGGGCUCCCCAGGGGGCUGCUGGGUGGGCUGUCGUGGGAGGCCAGCUCAUGGCAUGGGAAACAGCCUGCCUACCUUUGUCACAAGCUGUGCAACGCAGCUGAUGGUUACUGGCCAAGGUAACUGCUUUGAAAUGGCUUGCAGUGUGACCUUCUGAUGAACAGUGCAUCCCUGCCUGCUUUCUGCUUCUUCAGACUGGUGCUGGGAAAGAUGGUUAGCAGGGGUAGGCUGUCUAGCUUUGUCAUUCACCCUCUUUGACCUUCAGCUCCUUUUUUCUUGAUUAAGUCCAAGUUACCCAUCAAUUAAAAAGAGGCCGUGUUGUGUUUUUAGCCCACAGGAGCGCUGUGAGAGCUUUGAUAAUAAACUUUUCAAGAUCAUCAAGAGAAAUGUGCUAUAUAAAUGCAGAUUAACGUUACUAGAAAGCCUGCAGGUUCUUUGCCUUAUAUGUCUCUUCCGUGGUGUCUGCCGGCAGACCUGAAUACAUUUGCUUCUCAGAUUACUAAUCUUAGAUGUAAUAUAUCAACUGAGCAGACUUUCUUUCUUUAUAUUUUAAAUAUCAUGGCACGCUGUAUCACGCAACCUGUGAUAAUACUGUUUAGCAUCUCUGUUAUUAGAGCAUCUCUUCAUACUUCUGUUGCCACGGGCCUCGGGGGCGUUGUUUAUGGGCAGACCUCAAAGGCUUAGUAGUACUUCAGUUUUCCAGGUAGGAAAACCGAGGCCCAUUUUCCAAGCACCAAACUCUGAGCCGGUGGUGUGGUAAGUGAGUCUCUUAGCUCUCCCAUGCUGUCAUCAAGCACUGGGAAUCUGUUUUCAAAAGCACCAGAGACUAUCAAUUAUAGGACCUCAACGCAGAGUUUGCAAGUGAAAGUAAGCUUGCUAAACAGAGUUUUCUUUUUGCCCUCAUGACUGGUUGCUCUUGGAGAGAUGUUUUAACUGGAGGGGAAAGCCCUCACUCAUUAGCAGUGCCUCUUAGGCUUCUGGUUGCCUACUGAGUGUUUUACAUCCCUGAGUGCUUCAUUUAUAUUCUUCUCUUCACACUGAACCUUUUUGUGGGUUACUAAUACGUCCCUCAGACUUGCAGACUGCUGUUCCGGAAGAGUUAGAGGAAAUACACAAAUGAUGGGGACAGCUGCUUGAAGGUCCCUCUUCUUCACACCUUACCAGGAGAAUAUCCUUCUUACUGGGCUGCGUAGUCCUUUCUGAUCCAUGGGCCUUACAUUCCUUAUGGCCCAAUGGGCUGGUGUCGAGACAGCCAGGGGAAUACUUCCUUCCCUCCAGCUGAUGUGGGUGCUUUGAAAGGAGAUGCUGUCUUGAUCUCUGUUAGGCCGGAGGUGGCACUUCCAUGUCUCCUUUGUCUUUGGCAAACAUUCUGGUCCCCACAAUUGAUGCACCAAGCAGCAUGAAAGGUCAAGCAAGAAACAGGCCUCUUGUUUUGAAGGCGGCAGGUCUUUCCUCGUUGGUCGUUUCUGCCAAAUCUGGCACAUCCCAUUUCUGCGUGACUGCUUCUGCCAGUGGCUCAUGCUGGAUGUGUAGAUGUGCAGAUGGAGAUUGGGGAUUCCACUUCUGGAGCCAGGCACUUCAAAGGGAGGUGUCGGUGUUGCUGUCACCACACCUAAACCCUUUGCCAAUCUGGGGUCCGGGCAUCAAAGGUGAGUAAUAGUUAUUGAUGGAUGGGCAGCCUUUUUUGUCCACUGACUAAACAAAGCGGGUUUUCCAGCUGUUCCCUCCUCCAAGUCUCCUCCAGAUCCUUCCAGUUUCCCUACGUCACUCCCUUUUGCUAAUCUCCCCAUCUUUUCUCUGUGGCUUCCUCCUGCAGUUUCAGUUCUGGCAGGCAGCUCCCAGCCUCACGUUCUUCUCACCUGAAGGGGGCUUUCCAUGCAUGGUACAACCUUCUUCCCAAAGCCAUCUGUGCCAAAAAGUUAUAUUAUUUCCCUAUUUUGCAGUGAUCAUAUUUAACUUCUAGUUACAUACCAAAGUCACUAGCCACUCCCUGCUGGCAUGCCCUAUUCCUGAAGAAGCUGUGUGCCUUUUAACCUAGGGGCGCUGGAGGGGAUUUGCUGACCAAACCAUCUGCUGUUAAGCUUUCCAUUUGCCCUUCCAAGCCAAAGUUGCCAUAUUUGCCAUAUUGCCCAGGGCCCAUGACCUGAUUAGCAAGUUGGUGUCCUGUGAGUGCCUGGUCCUGGAAUGGCCACGUUUCCUGUCACUUGUUUCACUAGCUGCACUGAUUUCAGCAUCCCUAUGAAAGAUUGUUCAGACAAUUUCAGCAUCCUUAUGGGAGACUGUUCAGACAAUCCAUCAGAGCUUUCCGAAAGCAGAAGUGUUGAGCGAUGGCACACACCAACAUCCAUUCUGAAAGUGGUAGGCUAGCUAAAUGGACAAGCCCUGCGGUCACUCUGCAUCAAUAUAUAGUCACAAUGGUGCUGCACUAAGCAUUUUUUUUUCCCUCAGAGCAGCUCUAUCUCAUUGAUCCCCUCAGUGUUGUGCCAGAGAACAGCUGGAUAGCUUUUUUGUAUUUAAUCUCACUUCCUAACCUGGUGGGCUUUCUACAGCACAGAACUGUCAGCGAGGUAUUGGUGCAUGUUCCUUCUGUGCGGUCUGACAGGGAUAUCUAUCUCGUCCUCUUUGCCUAGGGUGUAGCUCCUUUAGAAAUGAUUUUUGUGGAGCAGUGUUACAUAGGGAAAGUUAUGUUUAAUGACAGUUCUGGGGCGUUUAAAUGCUGAAGUACUUGCAUAGCAGGGGUGUAUGUGGUUGUUCUGGCAUAAAAAUGCUUGGGUUAUGGGAACCAGUAUAAAUUAUGCUAGCGAGAGCAAGUUUUAUCUUUAUAUGUUGGGAAAGCUGGUCCUGUAAUUGAAUGUAACUGUAAAUAAAACAAGCUUGGCACUGUUUUUCAUU